rnacentral:rRNA from 1 species
UACGUAGGGUCCGAGCGUUGUCCGGAAUUAUUGGGCGUAAAGGGCUCGUAGGCGGUUCGUCACGUCGGGAGUGAAAACUCGGAGCUUAACUCCGAGCCUGCUUCCGAUACGGGCAGACUAGAGGUAGGCAGGGGAGAGCGGAACUCCUGGUGUAGCGGUGGAAUGCGCAGAUAUCAGGAAGAACACCGGUGGCGAAGGCGGUUCUCUGGGCAUUACCUGACGCUGAGGAGCGAAAGCAUGGGGAGCGAACAGG